rnacentral:lncRNA from 1 species
UUUAGACCCGCGUCUCACCCCGGGCCGGAAGGGCUCCUGCGCAGGCGUUUGUAGCCACUUUUAAGUUUUAUCAGCUAGUUCAUGCUUGCGUUGAAAGAGUGGUCGUUUGCGCUGGGUCAUCACUGUGUAGUAUUGGGGAUACUUAGGUGAGAAAAAAACUUAACGCUAGAGACGUUCACGCACUAGUGGAGAAGCCAGGAUUGUUGCCCUAGAGUUACAGUAGAUAAAAGUACCUCAGAGAACUGCGGGGGCUCCCAACCUGGACGCUUGCACCGGAGUAUUAAAUCCAGCUAGAGAAUGGCAUGUGCAAAGAUACAGAGCUUUUAGAAGUUGCCUGCAUUCCUUGGCCCCUUCCUCACAUCAUUCCAACCAACUUCCAUCCUUACAAUCGAUUACUUUCCUGUAAUAGCUACAGUCAAAUGGGCAGCUGAAGAUGAUGAUGAUGAUGAUCUUGACACCGAGAAGCAGAAGACCAAUGAAGAUGACCAGACAGCAAAAAAGGAUAAGUUAAAAGAAGGUAAAAGAAGGCCACUCGUACUUGCUGUCUCAGUAUCUAAAGGUGGUCACCUUCCAGUAGAGAGGCCCACCCACUGCAGACCGUGCCACCGAAGGUGACAUGCACUUUCUGCCACCCAUCCAAAACCGUAACGUGAAUCUGCAACAGGAGAGGAAAGAAGAACCAAAACUUCCAAGGCCUUGCAUUUUUUCUUAAAAGCAUUUUUUUUUUUUUUUGGAGAUGGAGUCUCACUCUAUUGCCUGGAGUGCAGUGGCGUAAUUUCGGCUCACUGAAGCCUCUGCUUCCCGGGUUUAAGAAAUUCUCUGCCUCAGCCUCCCAAGUAGCUGGGAUUACAGGCA